rnacentral:rRNA from 1 species
CGCGUAGGUGGUAGUGCAAGUCUGGGGUGGAAUCCCAGGGCUUAACCCUGGAACUGCCUUGGAAACUGUAUUACUUGAGUCAGUGAGGGGAGGGUAGAAUUCCUGGUGUAGCGGUGAAAUGCGUAGAUAUCAGGAGGAAGGCCUGUGGCGAAGGCGGCCCUCUGGCGCUGAACUGACACUGAGGCGCGAAAGCGUGGGUAGCAAACAGGAUUAGAUACCCUGGUAGUCCACGCCCUAAACGGUGGGUACUAGGUGUGGGGCUCGUAAGGGUUCUGUGCCGAAGCGAAAGCAUUAAGUACCCCGCUGGGGAGUACGGCCGCAAGGUUGAA